CUAACCCAAUCAAUCGAUCUUUGACAACGAACUAGAAAUUAAAUCACAAGCUAUGCAGUGAAUAAAACUGAAAGUGUGAAAAGUGUGUCAUCACCAUACAACCUGAGAUGCUACGAGAACUACUACAUGUAAAGUGUGGAGCAACCUGGAGGAGAGUUAAGCAGAGACAUCCGAGUAACUUCUCCAUUACUCAGCAACGUUGGUGAGUUUGCAUGUCUUAGGUUACGGGUAUUUCCCUGGGACUCCUUUAUCAUGUGGCGUGGCG